GGGCCCGCACAAGCAGUGGAUUAUGUGGUUUAAUUCGAAGCAACGCGAAGAACCUUACCGGGGUUUGACAUCCAACUAACGAAGCAGAGAUGCAUUAGGUGCCCUUCGGGGAAAGUUGAGACAGGUGGUGCAUGGUUGUCGUCAGCUCGUGUCGUGAGAUGUUGGGUUAAGUCCCGCAACGAGCGCAACCCUUAUUGUUAGUUGCUACGCAAGAGCACUCUAGCGAGACUGCCGUUGACAAAACGGAGGAAGGUGGGGACGACGUCAAAUCAUCAUGCCCCUUAUACCCCGGGCUACACACGUAAUACAAUGGCGGUCAACAAAGGGAAGCAAAGCCGCGAGGCAGAGCAAAUCCCCAAAAGCCGUCUCAGUUCGGAUUGCAGGCUGCAACUCGCCUGCAUGAAGUCGGAAUUGCUAGUAAUCGCGGAUCAGCACGCCGCGGUGAAUACGUUCCCGGGCCUU
rnacentral:rRNA from 1 species